GACGAACGCUGGCGGCGUGCUUAACACAUGCAAGUCGAACGGUGAAGCUCCAGCUUGCUGGAGUGGAUCAGUGGCGAACGGGUGAGUAACACGUGAGCAACCUGCCCCUGACUCUGGAAUAAGCGCUGGAAACGGCGUCUAAUACUGGAUACGAGAAGGGUCCGCAUGGGCACUUUCUGGAAAGUUUUUCGGUUGGGGAUGGGCUCGCGGCCUAUCAGCUUGUUGGUGAGGUAAUGGCUCACCAAGGCGACGACGGGUAGCCGGCCUGAGAGGGCGACCGGCCACACUGGGACUGAGACACGGCCCAGACCCCUACGGGAGGCAGCAGUGGGGAAUAUUGCACAAUGGGCGAAAGCCUGAUGCAGCGACGCCGCGUGAGGGAUGACGGCCUUCGGGUUGUAAACCUCUUUCAGCAGGGAAGAAGCGAAAGUGACGGUACCUGCAGAAGAAGCACCGGCUAACUACGU
rnacentral:rRNA from 1 species